UACGUAGGGUGCAAGCGUUGUCCGGAAUUAUUGGGCGUAAAGAGCUCGUAGGCGGUUCGUCGCGUCGGCUGUGAAAACCCGGAGCUCAACUCCGGGCCUGCAGUCGAUACGGGCGGACUCGAGUUCGGCAGGGGAGACUGGAAUUCCUGGUGUAGCGGUGAAAUGCGCAGAUAUCAGGAGGAACACCGGUGGCGAAGGGCGGGGU
rnacentral:rRNA from 1 species